rnacentral:siRNA from 1 species
UACUCAUGGCGGUGCUGGCCGC